rnacentral:rRNA from 1 species
GUAGGUGGCAAGCGUUGUCCGGAAUUAUUGGGCGUAAAGCGCGCGCAGGCGGUUCUUUAAGUCUGAUGUGAAAGCCCACGGCUCAACCGUGGAGGGUCAUUGGAAACUGGAGAACUUGAGUACAGAAGAGGAAAGCGGAAUUCCACGUGUAGCGGUGAAAUGCGUAGAGAUGUGGAGGAACACCAGUGGCGAAGGCGGCUUUCUGGUCUGUAACUGACGCUGAGGCGCGAAAGCGUGGGGAGCAAACAGGGAUUAGAUACCCUGGUAGUCCAGGCCGUAAACGAUGAGUGCUAAGUGUUAGGGGGUUUCCGCCCCCUUAGUGCUGCAGCUAACGCAUUAAGCACUCCGCCUGGGGAGUACGGCCGCAAGGCUG